rnacentral:rRNA from 1 species
GUGGGGAAUAUUGCACAAUGGGGGAAACCCUGAUGCAGCCAUGCCGCGUGUGUGAAGAAGGCCUUCGGGUUGUAAAGCACUUUCAGCGAGGAGGAAAGGUUGGUAGCUAAUAACUGCCAGCUGUGACGUUACUCGCAGAAGAAGCACCGGCUAACUCCGUGCCAGCAGCCGCGGUAAUACGGAGGGUGCAAGCGUUAAUCGGAAUUACUGGGCGUAAAGCGCACGCAGGCGGUUGGAUAAGUUAGAUGUGAAAGCCCCGGGCUCAACCUGGGAAUUGCAUUUAAAACUGUCCAGCUAGAGUCUUGUAGAGGGGGGUAGAAUUCCAGGUGUAGCGGUGAAAUGCGUAGAGAUCUGGAGGAAUACCGGUGGCGAAGGCGGCCCCCUGGACAAAGACUGACGCUCAGGUGCGAAAGCGUGGGGAGCAAACAGGAUUAGAAACCCCAGUAGUCC